CAUUAUUAUUAGAAAAUUGGUUAAUUAUAAAGUUUCGAAAUUAUUAAGUUAAAUUAUUUAUCAAUUUGGUACUAAUUCAAUUAUUUAAUAUUUUUAAAGAAAUUGGACUCGGAGCUCAGGACGAACGAACCAACGAAAAUCCCUUAGCAAAGUCGCGGAAUUAAGAAUUGGACUCGGAGCUCGGGACGAACGAACCAAAGAAAGCGAAAAUCCUUAGCAAAAUCGUGGAAGUGAGGUACUGCGGGGAACGAUGGAAUCGAGUAGUGGCGAGGAAUUUCACUUUAAUAUUAUUCGCCUAGUUUAUGCUUAAAGUUUUAAUAAUUUAAUUAAAGACUUUUAGUAAGUUGUGUUCUUUUAUUUCGGAAAUAUAAAGGAUUAUUAUAUAAAUUUUGGGGUUUAAUAGCUUAUGAUUGAUGGUUGCCUUGUAAUUCCCAAGAGGGAGUUACGGCAGGUAAUGUCCCGACCAAAAUAGGUUAAUUCCGCUGCUAAUUAUGAUUUAAUUCUUGGAUUAGAGGUCGGGGUGUUACAGUUUGGUAUCAGAGCCAAGGUUCUGGACCAUAAGUGCUAAACCUUACGGGUUUUUCGCACGAAUAGAAUUCAUUAGGCUUUAAGGAAAUAAUUUUAAGGAAUGAGUCAAAAAGAAUGUUCUAAAAUCUUGCUAAGUUAAAAUGAAUAUGAGUGUGAGUGUAGGAACGAGAUCAAAGGGUUUAUUUUAUAUUAUUAUUUCGCUUCAAACUGAUAAGAUAUGUUAUGCAGAAUGUCGACCAUCGAUGCUAUGAAUGAUGUCCCCAAGGGCUCGCAAAGAGCACCAUGAUAACCACAUUACGCACGAGGAUUAUGCCAUAUUGUGAUUUCUUUCCUAUUGCUUGUGAAUUAGAAAUUGUCAUAUGAUAUUCGAGAAAGUUGAGUUUUAGUAUUCUUUGACCUAUCUAUAUCUGAUGUAAUUUUGGGAAUAAAAUGGUUGAAUAUGAAGCUAAUAUAAAUUGUUUGAGGCAUAGUGUGACCAAAACGCCGAAUGAGGAUAUGAUUGCAUUCCAUAAGUUUGUAAGAAAACCAACGAUGCAAAUUGUCACCGCUUUGAAAGCUCCUAAAAUGACCGAUGGUGAAUUUUUCUGGUUAUCCUUGUAGUGUGGUCGAUCACCACUCACUGACACAGUUAUCGUUUGAGAAUACAUUUUCCAGAAAAGAAACCUAGUAUGCCUCCACCGAGAGAAUUAAGAAUUUAGCAAGAUCCACCCCUAUUCCUAAAACACCUAUAGAAUGACACCAACUGAGUUGCAAAGAAUUGAAGAAACAAUUAGAUGAUUUACUUGGAUAAGGGUAUAUUCAACUGAGUGCUUCACUUUUGGGAGCCGUGUCAUAUUUGUAAGGAAAAAUGAUGAAACUUUGAGGUGAUGCAUAGAUUAUAGAGAGUGGGACAAGAAUAAAUAUCCUUUAUCCCGCAUUGAUGAUUUGUUUGACCAACUCCGAGGUGCGAAAGUGUUUUCAAAGAUAGAUUUGAGGUCUGGAUACCAUCAACUUUACAAUAAACAUGAGGAUAUUCCAAGGACAGCUUUUAGAACCAAUUAUGGUUACCAUGAGUUUGGUGUAAUACCUUUUAGGUUAACUAAUGCAUCAGCUGUAUUUAUGGAUUUAAUGAACCACAUUUUCAAACCAUACCUAAAUAAGUUUGUAGUUGUUUCCAUUGAUGAUAUUUUCUAAGAGUAAUAAGGAACACGAGGAGCAUCUGAGAAAAGUGUUAGAUAUGUUGAUUGAAAACCAGUUAUGUGCUAAGUUGUCAAAGUGUAAAACAAUUGGCUUAAGGAAAUAUCGUUUUUAGGUCAUAUUAUUUCUGAGAAAGGUGUAUCUGUUGAUCAUGAGAAAGUAAAAGCAAUCGUGGAAUACCCUAGACCAACCAAUGUUCGUGAAAGUAUGAAAUUUUAUGGGUUUGGCUGAAGAUUAUUGAAGAUUUAUUUAAGAUUUCUCUAAGGUUGCCUUACCCACAAUCCCAUUUGUUAGAACGAAUA